GACGAACGCUGGCGGCGUGCUUAACACAUGCAAGUCGAACGGAAAGGCCCCCUUGUGGGGUACUCGAGUGGCGAACGGGUGAGUAACACGUGAGUAACCUACCCUUGACUUUGGGAUAACUUCAGGAAACUGGGGCUAAUACCGGAUAGGAGCUCCUGCUGCAUGGUGGGGGUUGGAAAGUUUCGGCGGUUGGGGAUGGACUCGCGGCUUAUCAGCUUGUUGGUGGGGUAGUGGCUCACCAAGGCUUUGACGGGUAGCCGGCCUGAGAGGGUGACCGGCCACAUUGGGACUGAGAUACGGCCCAGACUCCUACGGGAGGCAGCAGUGGGGAAUAUUGCACAAUGGGCGGAAGCCUGAUGCAGCAACGCCGCGUGCGGGAUGACGGCCUUCGGGUUGUAAACCGCUUUCGCCUGUGACGAAGCGUGAGUGACGGUAGUGGGUAAAGAAGCACCGGCUAACUACGUG
rnacentral:rRNA from 1 species